AGGUCCAGGCAAAAUAAGAAUUGACAGAUUGAGAGCUCUUUCUUGUUCUUGAAUAGUGGUGGUGCAUGGCCAUUCUUAGUUGGUGAAGUGAUUUGUCUGCUUAAUUAUGAUAAUGAACAAAACGUUUAACCUGCUAAAUAACCCAACUCGCGUUUUCGGGGCCGCUGACUUCUUAGAGGGACUAUCAGCUCAAGCCGAUGGACGUUUGAUGCAAUAAUAGGUCUAUGCCCUUAGAAGUUCU
rnacentral:ncRNA from 1 species